rnacentral:rRNA from 1 species
UGGGGAAUUUGCCAAUGGGCGGAGCCUGAUGCAGCAACGCCGCGUGAGGGAUGACGGCCUUCGGGUUGUAAACCUCUUUUAGCAGGGAAGAAGCGAGAGUGACGGUACCUGCAGAAAAAGCGCCGGCUAACUACGUGCCAGCAGCCGCGGUAAUACGUAGGGCGCAAGCGUUAUCCGGAAUUAUUGGGCGUAAAGAGCUCGUAGGCGGUUUGUCGCGUCUGCUGUGAAAUCCCGAGGCUCAACCUCGGGCCUGCAGUGGGUACGGGCAGACUAGAGUGCGGUAGGGGAGAUUGGAAUUCCUGGUGUAGCGGUGGAAUGCGCAGAUAUCAGGAGGAACACCGAUGGCGAAGGCAGAUCUCUGGGCCGUAACUGACGCUGAGGAGCGAAAGGGUGGGGAGCAAACAGGCUUAGAUACCCUGGUAGUCCACCCCGUAAACGUUGGGAACUAGUUGUGGGGACCAUUCCACGGUUUCCGUGACGCAGCUAACGCAUUAAGUUCCCCCCUGGGGAGUACGGCCGCAAGGCUAAAACUCAAAGGAAUUGACGGGGACCCGCAAAAGCGGCGGAACAUGCGGAUUAAUUCGAUGCAACCCGAAAAACCUUACCAAGGCUUGACAUACACCAGAACACCGUAGAAAUACGGGACUCUUUGGACACUGGUGAACAGGUGGUGCAUGGUUGUCGUCAGCUCGUGUCGUGAGAUGUUGGGUUAAGUCCCGCAACGAGCGCAACCCCUCGUUCUAUGUUGCCAGCACGUUAUGGUGGGAACUCAUGGGAUACUGCCGGGGUCAACUCGGAGGAAGGUGGGGAUGACGUCAAAUCAUCAUGCCCCUUAUGUCUUGGGCUUCACGCAUGCUACAAUGGCCGGUACAAAGGGCUGCAAUACCGUGAGGUGGAGCGAAUCCCAAAAAGCCGGUCCCAGUUCGGAUUGAGGUCUGCAACUCGACCUCAUGAAGUCGGAGUCGCUAGUAAUCGCAGAUCAGCAACGUGCGGGAAU